AAUCCUUAUCCCGCUAUUAACCCUAGAGUUCCCAAAUAAUUCUUUAAUGUUUGAAUAUCCAUACAAUUAGUGAUACUACCUAUAGUACCAAAUCUAGCCAUAAUUCCUUCUACUAUAUCUAUUUUUUUCCUAUUUGUUACGUUACUUCUUCCAAACCAAUAUUCUAAGCCUCGUUCCAUAUUUAAUAAAUGUUCCUUAUUGUGGAAAUUUAGUUGAGAUUUUCCACUGAGAAACAUUUAAAUUACAAACUAUUGUUGCAAAUUUCUCAUGUACUAACAGAGGCUUUGAUUGAAAAUGAUUCAAUUGAAAGGGACUUGAUAACUUAAAAACCCUAUUUUUACAUUUUACCAUUCUGGGAGAGAAUACAUUUACCUUAACAUCACCACAUCUCUCG